rnacentral:rRNA from 1 species
GAUGAACGCUGGCGGCGUGCCUAACACAUGCAAGUCGAGCGAACGGACGAGAAGCUUGCUCUUCCGAUGUUAGCGGCGGACGGGUGAGUAACACGUGGACAACCUACCUAUAAGACUGGGAUAAUUUCGGGAAAUCGGAGCUAAUACCGGAUAAUAUUUUGAACCGCAUUGUUCAAAAGUGAAAGUCGGUCUUGCUGACACUAAUAGACUGAUACGCGCUGCAUUAGCUAGUUGGUAAGGUAACGGCUUACCAAGGCAACGAUGCAUACCCGACCUGAGCGGGUGGUCGCACACACGGGAACUGAGGCACGGUCCCGACUCCUACGGGAAGACGCAGUAGAGAAUCUUCCGCAAUGGGCGAGAGCCUAACAGUGCAACACCGCGUGAGUGAUGAAGGACUUCGGAUCGUAAAACUCUGUUAUUAGGAAAGAACAAAUGUGUAAGUAACUGUGCACAUCUUGACGGUACCGAGUCAGAAAGCCACGGCUAACUACGUG